rnacentral:rRNA from 1 species
UACGUAGGUGGCGAGCGUUAUCCGGAUUUACUGGGCGUAAAGGGAGCGUAGGCGGACUUUUAAGUGAGAUGUGAAAUACCCGGGCUCAACUUGGGUGCUGCAUUUCAAACUGGAAGUCUAGAGUGCAGGAGAGGAGAAUGGAAUUCCUAGUGUAGCGGUGAAAUGCGUAGAGAUUAGGAAGAAUACCAGUGGCGAAGGCGAUUCUCUGGACUGUAACUGACGCUGAGGCUCGAAAGCGUGGGGAGCAAACAGGAUUAGAUACCCCCGUAGU